AACGAACGCUGGCGGCAGGCUUAACACAUGCAAGUCGAGCGAGACCUUCGGGUCUAGCGGCGGACGGGUGAGUAACGCGUGGGAACGUGCCCUUCUCUACGGAAUAGCCCCGGGAAACUGGGAGUAAUACCGUAUACGCCCUUUGGGGGAAAGAUUUAUCGGAGAAGGAUCGGCCCGCGUUGGAUUAGGUAGUUGGUGGGGUAAUGGCCCACCAAGCCGACGAUCCAUAGCUGGUUUGAGAGGAUGAUCAGCCACACUGGGACUGAGACACGGCCCAGACUCCUACGGGAGGCAGCAGUGGGGAAUCUUAGACAAUGGGGGCAACCCUGAUCUAGCCAUGCCGCGUGAGUGAUGAAGGCCUUAGGGUUGUAAAGCUCUUUCAGCUGGGAAGAUAAUGACGGUACUAGCAGAAGAAGCCCCGGCUAACUCCGUG
rnacentral:rRNA from 1 species